rnacentral:tRNA from 3 species
GCCGGAGUAGCUCAGUGGCCAGAGCAGCCGACUUGUAAUCGGCAGGUCAGGGGUUCGACUCCCCUCUCCGGCUCUA